UCCGGUGUAGCUCAACGGACAGAGCGGGGGACUUCUAAUCCCACGGUUGCAGGUUCGAGUCCUGUCACCGGAG
rnacentral:tRNA from 1 species